rnacentral:rRNA from 1 species
UACAGAGGUCUCAAGCGUUGUUCGGAUUCAUUGGGCGUAAAGGGUGCGUAGGCGGCGCGGUAAGUCGGGUGUGAAAUCUUGGAGCUUAACUCCGAAACUGCAUUCGAUACUGCGGGGCUUGAGGACUGGAGAGGAGACUGGAAUUCAUGGUGUAGCAGUGAAAUGCGUAGAGAUCAUGAGGAAGACCAGUGGCGAAGGCGGGUCUCUGGACAGUUCCUGACACUGAGGCACGAAGGCCAGGGGAGCAAACGGG